rnacentral:rRNA from 1 species
UAGGGAAUCUUCCGCAAUGGGCGCAAGCCUGACGGAGCAACGCCGCGUGUGUGAAGAAGGUCUUCGGAUCGUAAAGCACUGUUGUUAGAGAAGAACGACCGCUAGAGUAACUGUUAGCGGAGUGACGGUAUCUAACCAGAAAGCCACGGCUAACUACGUGCCAGCAGCCGCGGUAAUACGUAGGUGGCAAGCGUUGUCCGGAUUUAUUGGGCGUAAAGGGAGCGCAGGCGGUGACUUAAGUCUGAUGUGAAAGCCCACGGCUCAACCGUGGAGGGUCAUUGGAAACUGGGUGACUUGAGUGCAGAAGAGGAAAGUGGAAUUCCAUGUGUAGCGGUGAAAUGCGUAGAUAUAUGGAGGAAGACCAGUGGCGAAGGCGACUUUCUGGUCUGUAACUGACGCUGAGGCUCGAAAGCGUGGGGAGCAAACAGG